rnacentral:rRNA from 1 species
GACGAACGCUGGCGGCGUGCCUAAUACAUGCAAGUAGAACGCAGUUGCGAACGGGUGAGUAACGCGUAGGUACCUGCCUGGUAGCGGGGGAUAACUAUUGGAAACGAUAGCUAAUACCGCAUACUAACAGAUGGACCUGCGUUGUAUUAGCUAGUUGGUGGGGUAACGGCUCACCAAGGCAACGAUACAUAGCCGACUUGGGAGGGUGAUCGGACACACUGGGACUUGGACACGGCCCAGACUCCCACGGGAGGCAGCAGUAGGGAAAUUUCGGCAAUGGGGGGAACCCUGACCGAGCAACGCCGCGUGAGUGAAGAAGGGUUUCGGAUCGUAAAGCUCUGUUGUUAAGGAAGCGGUACUUACCCAGAAAGGGACGGCUAACUACGUGCCAGCAGCCGCGGUAAUAC